GAAGAUGGAGAGGGAAGGGGAAAUAGAAACACAAAUUGAUCAUGAGAGGAAUUUCAUCUGAUCAAUACCAUCCAUUCAGUUUGGGAGAUGAAAUGUACAUUUUAUCAAUCCCCUAAAUCCAAUAGUUUUGAUCAAACAAAAUCUAAAUCAACCAUGACCAGGGCGUAAACAGAAAGUUAAACAUCACAAGACCAUAAAAAU
rnacentral:lncRNA from 1 species